rnacentral:rRNA from 1 species
AUGUGGCGUCGAGUGCGGCCUCGAACGUCUGGCCAUGAGGACCGCCUUAGUGCACUCCAUGACGAUCUGAUCCUCCUCAUAGUAAGCAGGCUGGACACCCGAACAGCCCUCUCCAUGGCCGUCCUCGCCGGGCGCUGGGUUCGCAUCCCACGCAAGCUGUCGGCGCUCGACUUCAGG